AUGAGCAGGCGCUGGAGCAGGACGAUCUAUGUUGGCAACCUCCCUGGGGAUAUCCGGGAGAGGGAGGUGGAGGACCUCUUCUACAAGUAUGGCCGUAUUGUUGAUAUUGACCUGAAGGUUCCUCCAAGGCCGCCUGGCUAUGCUUUUGUUGAGUUUGAAGAUCCUCGUGACGCCGAAGAUGCCUGUGCUGGAAGGGAUGGGUACAACUUCGAUGGAAAUCGUCUAAGAGUGGAACCUGCUCAUGGUGGGAGAGGUAGUGGUGGCCCCUCUCAUGAUCGUUCUAGCAGCUUUGGUGGUGGUGGCGGCGGCAGUGGUGGCGGACGCCGGGGUGUCUCCAGGCACACGGAUUACCGUGUUCUGGUUACUGGCCUGCCUUCUUCUGCGUCCUGGCAAGAUUUAAAGGACCAUAUGCGAAGGGCUGGUGAUGUUUGUUUCGCAGAAGUGUAUCGUGAAGGCGGCGGCACCAUAGGAAUUGUGGACUACACAAACUAUGAUGAUAUGAAAUAUGCUAUAAAGAAACUGGAUGACACUGAAUUCAAGAAUGCAUUUUCUAAAGGUUAUAUAAGGGUGAAGGAAUAUGAUGGCAAACGUGGGCGCUCCUACUCACGUAGCCGGAGCCCAAGUCGUAGCCGCAGCAAAAGCAGGAGCCCAAGCAAAUCUCCCAGGGCCCGCUCAGCAUCUAGGUCCAGAUCAAGGUCUCUUUCUUCCCGUUCUUGUUCAGCAUCAAAAGGACGUUCUCCAUCAAGAUCACCAGCAAGAUCCAAAUCCCCAAUUGCUUCUCCGGCAAACGGUGUAGUGGCAAGUCCAGCGGCAAGCCUGAAGAAACGCAGUCCAAGCAGGAGUCCAUCUCGUUCACGGUCACUUGAUGCGAAAUCUGAAUAG
rnacentral:rRNA from 1 species